rnacentral:misc_RNA from 1 species
AAAAAAUAUUUCUUGUUGUAUCGUAUCCAGUCGGGUGUGGUUCCCUGCAGGAACACUCUCAUCUUCUUCUCCUCAGUUCUCAGUCUGUCUCAGUUGUUCACCGUGACAAUCUCUAACACUACCAUGUGGGGCUUGUCUCGAAACCCAUCUCAGUUUUCCACCAAGAAGCAGCAGAAGCAGGAAAGAGAAGGAGGGUUAGCAGAGAGUUUCAGGCCGGAAAACUUCAUUCCGGGCCUUGUUAUUGGUUUCAUUUUUGGCUUGUUGCUGGAUUUAACAACCCCCCCAAAAAAUUAUGCCAAGAUGAAGAAAGUCUUACCGGGAAAGCCCCAACAACAAAGCUUGGUCUCGAAUAAUGGCGAUCAAGAGCUUAAAAUGGUUCUGGUUGUUCGACAAGACCUGAAGAUGGGUGUAGGAAAGAUUGCGUCUCAAUGUGCCCGUAAGAUAAUUAAACCUCAAUAAUUUUUUAGGUUUUGCAUAUUUUAGUUUAUAAUACUUAAGAAAUUCCUAUGCCUUUCUAUGGAUAUCUUGAUCCUCAAUUACUUUGCUAUUUAUCUGAUUAAAUCUGUAAUUGACUCACUUCCAGAUGCAGCCACUGGCAUGUAUUCAGAACUGAUGCGAAGGUACAUGGAUCUUAAUUAUGAGUUCAACGACAACUCCAAAGGAGAGUUUUCAUUGGCUGAUAAAUACCAUAUUUGCUCUUCCAUGUGUUUGGUAUUCAUAUAGUUCCUGCAGAUAUGAGCACUUCUUAGAAAAAGUAAGAGGAUAUAUGAAGAGAUUUAGGAACUGUGAACUUGAUCAAGAGUUGGUAAAAACUAAAUGAAUGCAUGAACUUGUUAUCCUUUUAGUCCCAUUGUGAGAAGAUCAUUUUUAGCAGGCGUCCAUACUUUGCUAAAUAAAUGUUGCAUCACAAAAUAAUUGCUCUCUGACUAUUCUUGGUUACAACUUACAAUAUAUGUUCUGCUCUGUAUGCUUAUUUAUCAUUUAUCAUGUCAAUUUGAAUUCUUUUAAAAUGUUGUUCAGUGAACGGACACUUUUGAGUAGAUGGGAGCAAUGUGGGCAACCCAAAAUAGUUGUUACAUGCAGGAAUCAGCAAGAAAUGUAAGAAGGUGAUUUUAUUUGAAUAAUGCAGUUCUUCAGAGUCAGUAAAAUGCAUAUAUCAUUUUUUUUUUUUAAAAAGGCUCAUUUUUUCCAAAUUUAUGGGUUAAAAAUUCAUUCCUUACAAGGAACAAGCUAGAGGAAGCAGCUGAUAGCAUUGGGCUUCCAACUUUUGUUGUCGCAGAUGCUGGGCGAACACAGGUUUCAGCUGGAUCAAAGACAGUUCUUGCAAUUGGACCUGGGUCAAAAGCGUCAGUGGAUUCAGUUACAGGAAAGCUGCGCCUGCUCUGAAUUCGUGGAAGAAGAAGAUGAUCUGAGUUAAAAUUCCUAGGUUAAUUGGUCGAUUUGUUUGCAACUAGUUCUUUCAUGAUCUCAAAGGACGGGCUUUUCCUUUAUGGUAGUCCCGGGUACAGAGUCAGGGGUGGGUCAACCCACGUUGCAAGCACUUGCCAAGCUAGAAAUUUUCCACCACUUGCAUUCAGAGGAAGAUUGUUUACACUUUGAACGCAUUGCUCCGCUGGCUGACAUCCUAAUCAUUCCAUUAGUUGAUUAGAGAAAUUGAGUAAAGAAAAGUUUGUCUAGAGUUCUCUAUUACUUUUGUGAAUUUUAUAUGUAAAAUUAUAAAAAUUAAAAAUAUGGAUUACCUUAUUUUCAUUAAUUUGACAACUAAAGGGAAAAUUGUAAACGAAUCAAGUCGCUCACCGCUGUUUCAAGCGCAGCUUGAUAAAAGUAAAGUUUGGUUUGAAAAUGAGCCAAGUUUGAGCUCUAAUUUUAUACUUAUUUAAUAAAUGAGCUGAGUUCGAG